UCUAACUAUAAUCACGGAUAUUCAAUAGAUUCCAUUUUACCAAGCUCUUUCAUAUGCUGAUUUCUCAUAUGGCGACGCGCGCAUCUCACGUAGUCGAUAACAUUCUGCAAUUAUUUCCGGGCCAGUCCGGACUCUUUGGUGGGUACAAGAAUUUACUCGAGUUUGGCGGUCUUUAACAGUAUCUCGUCGUGCUCUUGUUAAAGAAUGAAAUAUGUUUCACAUUUAUUCGUGUUUUGUGUUACAACAUCCAUUAAAUAAAUUUUCUCGGCAAAAAUCGCAAGCGAGAAAAUGCAUCUUUUUGUAAUGUACAAUAAAUAAAUAAAAUGUGUUAAUUUA